GAAAAAUCUCCGCCUUGAGCCUUGCCAUCUUCCAAUGCAUUGUAUCAGCAACAGG
rnacentral:tRNA from 1 species